GAACACGCGCCAUUUUGUGAAAUUUACACAAAAAAGCCUUAAAGAGAACAGGGUCUUCAGGUUUGUAGUCGUCAUUUUUAAUCAUGAUUUGGAAGCAAUGCUGCUCUCGUUACAAUUAAUGUGUCGAUCAGCUAACAGUAUACAUGCCUAGCUGCAUCGAAAUGUUGGUUUCCCUAUGGUCAGAUCGAAUACGUUUCUGCCGUUGACUGCGUUGGCGAGUUGACUGAGAGGCGCUAUUGAUUUGGAAAAAGAAUUGACAUCUAUUCAGAGGAGUGAGGGUUGUACGUUGGGAAAUCUGGGGGGCUCCAUGGAGAAGAGACUGUAUCGCCGUAAAUCGCCUUAUUAAGGCAUUGGGGAUUGAUUGUAAAUGAGGAUAUUUUUCUGGAAUAGGAAGACUGACAGGCAGCGACAAAGAUUUUGUGUCCAACAGGUGAAUUACAGAAGAAGGUGAUUCACGCAAUCCAACCAGGAGACUGGGUGUGGAUCCAGUCCCUGAGGAGAAAAGACUGGAAACAGCCCCGUUAACGUUUAUUCUUAAUAACACAUCUCCAGAUGGAUCCGUGACCAAGGCCCUGGCCGGUUUAACCACAUUGGCUAACAAGUUAGCGGAGAACUCUGGGGUGGAUACCUCACUGACUGGGUGGUUCGAUAGUAUGUUUGGAAAAUUGAUUUUUUUUAUAAUCACCGUGUUGUGGGCUGCAUUCACCUGUGAGUGUAAUGUUGUGUGGUUGCUGUUUGAUUCCGUGUGUGAGAGGUUUAAUUACCAGGGCUCUGGAGAGGUCGAUGACGCAACAGUUGGUGAGAUACGGACCGAUUCUGAGCUCCGACCAGUGGGAUGACAAAUACAUGCCUCAAAAUCUAGUAGAUGACUCUGAUCACUUCACGAGGAGCCCAUGCUGGAUGAGACUAUCAUCAAUGUUUAGACAGACUGUUUAUUUAAUGAAGAUUAUAAUGAAAAUCCUAAAAAGAAGAGUUAUAAUUGGAUAUAGGCCUAGAACAGUCUUUGAGGAGUAUAUGAUGUAAAUACAUGUAUUGAUUUUGUUUGAUAUGGUGUGACAUUUUAUUUUCUGAUAAAGAUUGAAGUAUCACUGUAAUUUUUAGUCAAAGGGGGAUUGAUAAAGGAAUUUAUAUGUUUAAAGUAAUGACUAAAGAAUUCCACCCUGAAAUCAUAUAAUUGUAUGAAGUGUGUUAGUCAUAAUUCCAUAAUGUGUGUGUGACUAGACCAUUGUGUUACUAUGUAGCAAUGUGAGAGUUGAGACAACAAAGGACUGAACUACAGAUGACCUUGUUGUAACUCUGAAAACUGACAACAGGAAAGAGGGCCCUUCCAAGGCCUCUAAUCUAAGGAGAAGAGGAGCGGCGAGAAACUGCCAAGGCUGGUAGAAAAGUGAUAAAACCGUGUGUGUGUAAGUAGGUGGGAGUUAUAAAAUGACUUUUUGCAUUUUUGACUUCAGAGCUCUCUGAAUAAAGAACUAACCUAUUGCA